UACGAAGGGGGCUAGCGUUGCUCGGAAUCACUGGGCAUAAAGGGCGUGUAGGCGGGCUUUCAAGUCGGUUGUGAAAUCCCUCAGCUCAACUGAGGAACUGCAUCCGAUACUGUUUGUCUUGAGGACGAGAGGGGAGAGUGGAACUUCUGGUGGAGCGGUGAAAUGCGUAGAUAUCAGAAGGAACGCCGGUGGCGAAAGCGACUCUCUGGCUCGUAACUGACGCUGAAACGCGAAAGCUUGGGUAGCAAACGGG
rnacentral:rRNA from 1 species